rnacentral:rRNA from 1 species
GAUGAACGCUGUCGGCGUGCCUAAUACAUGCAAGUCGAGCGAACGGACGAGAAGCUUGCUUCUCUGAUGUUAGCGGCGGACGGGUGAGUAACACGUGGAUAACCUACCUAUAAGACUGGGAUAACUUCGGGAAACCGGAGCUAAUACCGGAUAAUAUUUUGAACCGCAUGGUUCAAAAGUGAAAGACGGUCUUGCUGUCACUUAUAGAUGGAUCCGCGCUGCAUUAGCUAGUUGGUAAGGUAACGGCUUACCAAGGCAACGAUGCAUAGCCGAGCUGAGAGGGUGAUCGGCCACAUUGGAACUGGGACACGGUCCAGACUCCUACGGGAGGCAGCAGUAGGGAAUCUUCCGCAAUGGGCGAAAGCCUGACGGAGCAACGCCGCGUGAGUGAUGACGGUCUUCGGAUCGUAAAACUCUGUUAUUAGGGAAGAACAUAUGUGUACGUAACUGUGCACAUCUUGACGGUACCUAAUCAGAAAGCCACGGCUAACUACGUG